GACGAACGCUGGCGGCGUGCUUAACACAUGCAAGUCGAACGGAAAGGCCCUGCUUUUGUGGGGUGCUCGGGUGGCGAACGGGUGAGUAACACGUGAGUAGCCUGCCCUUGACUUUGGGAUAACUUCAGGAAACUGGGGCUAAUACCGGAUAGGAGCUCCUGCUGCAUGGUGGGGGUUGGAAAGUUUCGGCGGUUGGGGAUGGACUCGCGGCUUAUCAGCUUGUUGGUGGGGUAGUGGCUUACCAAGGCUUUGACGGGUAGCCGGCCUGAGAGGGUGACCGGCCACAUUGGGACUGAGAUACGGCCCAGACUCCUACGGGAGGCAGCAGUGGGGAAUAUUGCACAAUGGGCGGAAGCCUGAUGCAGCAACGCCGCGUGCGGGAUGACGGCCUUCGGGUUGUAAACCGCUUUCGCCUGUGACGAAGCGUGAGUGACGGUAAUGGGUAAAGAAGCACCGGCUAACUACGUG
rnacentral:rRNA from 1 species